GACUGCGUGGCCUAAUGGAUAAGGCGUCUGACUUCAAAUCAGAAGAUUGAGAGUUCGAGUUCCUUCGUGGUCG
rfam:Salmo salar isolate Sally breed double haploid chromosome ssa04, whole genome shotgun sequence.